rnacentral:rRNA from 1 species
UACGUAGGGAGCAAGCGUUGUCCGGAAUCAUUGGGCGCAAAGCGCGCGUAGGCGGCCUCGUAAGUCCGUUGUGAAAGUCAAAGGCUCAACCUUUGAAAGCCGAUGGAUACUGUGAGGCUAGAGUCCGGAAGAGGAGAGUGGAAUUCCUGGUGUAGCGGUGAAAUGCGCAGAUAUCAGGAAGAACACCCGUGGCUAAGGCGGCUCUCUAGUACGGUACUGACGCUGAGACGCGAAAGCGUGGGGAGCGAACAGG